rnacentral:rRNA from 1 species
UGGGGAAUCUUGCGCAAUGGUCGAAAGACUGACGCAGCCAUGCCGCGUGAAUGAUGAAGGUCUUAGGAUUGUAAAAUUCUUUUAGUAGGGACGAUAAUGACGGUACCUACAGAAAAAGCCCCGGCUAACUUCGUGCCAGCAGCCGCGGUAAUACGAAGGGGGCUAGCGUUGCUCGGAAUUACUGGGCGUAAAGGGAGCGUAGGCGGGUUGACAAGUUGGAGGUGAAAGCCCAGGGCUCAACCCUGGAAUUGCCUUCAAAACUGUCAGCCUUGAGUAUGGAAGAGGUAAGUGGAACUCCGAGUGUAGAGGUGAAAUUCGUAGAUAUUCGGAAGAACACCAGUGGCGAAGGCGACUUACUGGUCCAUGACUGACGCUGAGGCUCGAA